GAUGAAGAACGUAGUGAAAUGCGAUACGUAGUGUGAAUUGCAGAAUUCAGUGAAUCAUCGAAUCUUUGAACGCACAUUGCGCCCCUUGGUAUUCCGGGGGGCAUGCCUGUUCGAGCGUCAUUAUCACCCCUCAAGCUCAGCUUGGUGUUGGGGCCUGCCCGUCACAGGGCAGCCCCUAAAAGCAGUGGCGGUGCCAUCUGGCUCUAAGCGUAGUAAUACUCCUCGCUAUAGGGUCCCGGUGGUGUCCUGCCAGAACCCCAACUUUUAUUAUGAUUGACCUCGGAUCAGGUAGGGAUACCCGCUGAACUUAAGCAUAUCAAUAAGCGGAGGA
rnacentral:misc_RNA from 1 species